AUUGAACGCUGGCGGCAGGCUUAACACAUGCAAGUCGAGCGGAUGAGGGGUGCUUGCUCCUGGUUUCAACGGCGGACGCGUGAGUAAUGCCUAGGAAUCUGCCUGGUUGUGGGUUAUAACGUCCUCAGACGGGCGCUAAUACCGCCUACGUCCUGCGGGAGCUAGAGGGGGGUCUUCGGACAUCUCGCUCUCAUAUGAGCCUAGGUCGGAUUAGCUAGCUGGUGGGGUAAGGGCCUACUAAGGCGACGAUCCGUAACUGGUCUGACUGGGGGAUCAGUCACAUGGGAGCGGAGACAGGGUCAAGGGUCCUACGAGAGGCAGCAGUGGGGAACGUUGGACAGUAGGCGGGAGCCUGGUCCAGCGAUGGCGCGUGUGUUAAGAAGGUCUUCGGAGUGUAAAGCACUUCAAGUGGGGGGAAAGGGCAGUAAGUUAAGACCUAGCGGGUGUGACGGUACUAAGAGAAUAAGCACCGGCUAACUUCGUG
rnacentral:rRNA from 1 species